rnacentral:rRNA from 1 species
GGGCCCGCACAAGCGGUGGAUUAUGUGGAUUAAUUCGAUGCAACGCGAAAAAACCUUACCUGGCCUUGACAUGUACCGAAUUUAGCAGAGAUGCUUUAGUGCUCGUAAGAGAACGGUAACACAGGUGCUGCAUGGCUGUCGUCAGCUCGUGUCGUGAGAUGUUGGUUAAGUCCCGCAACGAGCGCAACCCUUGCCAUUAAUUGCCAUCAUUUAGUUGGGCACUUUAAUGGGACUGCCGGUGACAAACCGGAGGAAGGUGGGGAUGACGUCAAGUCCUCAUGGCCUUAUGGCCAGGGCUUCACACGUAAUACAAUGGUCGGUACAGAGGGCUGCUAACCCGCGAGGUGGAGCGAA